rnacentral:misc_RNA from 1 species
UGGCUAUCUCUCUCUCUUCCCCCAAGCGUCUCUUGUUGACUCCCACUGGCGUCAAUCCCGAGAGCUGAGAUUUCUGUUAUCUCCCAAAUCCCAGGAAUCUCAACUGCAAAAUCCUAAUGCCGGGCUUCUAGAAGCCUUCAAGUAGAGAAAUGGGUUCUCUUCCAACAUCCUUUAUUAUGAUUAUCUUAAUACUCUCCUUCACUUUCAAUCUCAUCCCCAUCACACACUCUGUUCCCUUCGUAGUUUUGCACGGUAUUGGUGAUAAAUGCACUAAUCGGGGGAUCACUCGCUUCACUGAGCUCUUAAGCAAUUGGUCUGGUGCUCCAGGAUAUUGCCUAGAGAUUGGAGAUGGAUCAUGGGACUCUUGGACUAUACCCCUUCAUGAACAGACGGCAACUGCUUGUGAGAAGGUGAAGAGUAUGAGUGAGCUCGCCAAUGGUUACAACAUUGUUGGGCUUUCUCAGGGGAACAUGCUUGGUCGAGGAAUUAUUGAAUUUUGUGAAGGAGGACCUGCUGUUAAGAAUUUUAUUUCACUGGGAGGUCCCCAUGCUGGUACUGCUUCAGUUCCAUUCUGUGGAUCUGGCCUUGUAUGCAUUCUUGUGGAUGCUUUAAUUCGGUUAGAGAUCUACAGCAGCUAUGUCCAGGAACAUUUGGCUCCUAGUGGCUACCUCAAAAUCCCAACUGACAUUGCUGACUAUCUGAAAGGGUGCAAGUUUCUUCCCAAACUUAACAAUGAAAUCAUAAAAAAUUCUACUUACAAGGAACGUUUUGCCAGCUUAGAGAAUUUGGUUUUAAUCAUGUUUGAGCAGGAUACAGUUUUGAUACCAAAGGAAACCUCCUGGUUUGGAUAUUAUCCAGAUGGGGCCUUUACUCCUGUUCUGCCUGCACAAGAGACUAACCUCUACACUGAAGACUGGAUUGGGUUUAAAACACUGGAUGAAGCGGGAAAAGUUAAAUUCAUUAAUGUCUCUGGGAAUCACCUUGAAAUCUCGCGAAAUGAUAUGAAGAAGUAUAUAGUACCCUAUUUGGAGGGCCAAGCAUCAUACCAGCAGAUAAAAACGGAACCUUCAUCUUGUAGAUGGGUUUCAUCAAUCAGGAACUUCUUUAUUGAACUAUUUGGGCUUACUGAGGAUCAAGCUUUGCUGCAUAUUCUGUAAGCACCUUCAUUUGCUCAAGAAUUAAUUGUUUUGGGAGAGGAGGGGAAUGGAGAAAUUAUACCUUUCAUUGUUCGUUCAUAAUUUCCAGUAGAGAAACAAAAAAGUCCUGUAUAUCCCAUCUGAUGGUUUUAUGAUGUAUGCCUCCGCUUCCAAACAAUGCAAUUGAUGCUAUGAUCUAUGGCAAGUUAUUAGCUAAACUCAUGAACUGUAGUUGUAUGCGUACAAUGAAAUGUUACAGUUGAGUUGAUAA